rnacentral:rRNA from 1 species
CCCUUAGAUGUUCUGGGCCGCACGCGCGCUACACUGAUGCAUUCAACAAGCCUAGCCUUGACCGAGAGGUCCGGGUAGUCUUUGAAACUGCAUCGUGAUGGGGCUAGAUUAUUGCAAUUAUUAAUCUUCAACGAGGAAUGCCUAGUAAGCGUGAUUCAUCAAAUCGCGUUGAUUACGUCCCUGCCCUUUGUACACACCGCCCGUCGCUCCUACCGAUUGAAUGUGUUGGUGAGGAGCUCGGAUUGGCAGCAGUUGGUGGUUCGCCACCGGCUAUUGCUGAGAAGUCCUCCAAACCGCCUCAUUUAGAGGAAGGAGAAGUCGUAACA